rnacentral:tRNA from 1 species
GGUGUGGUGGCAGUUGGCUGGGCUGACCGGUCUUGAAAACCGUCGUGGCAGCGAUGUCACCGUGGGUUCAAAUCCCACACCCACCG